AGUGUUUCACGUACAGCGUACGAUCAUCAGGCGAUCAGGCGAUAAUCGAAUCGCCUGAUCGCCUGAUGAUCGUACGCUGUACGUGAAACACU